rnacentral:lncRNA from 1 species
AGUGGCCUCGCAGCUGGGGCAAGGGGGACAUCCCCGGCGCCGCGGAGCCGCGAGCGGAGCGAGCGCCCGGGGCGCACCUGAGCCUCCAGCACUCCCCGCGGCCGCGGAAACAUUUUCCUGGGCAUCUAAAAGUAUUGUGGACCUGAGACACUGUGCUUACAGGGCCUACUGGUUUUCACUGUAUGAGACCGAGAAUGGAUUAUGGCAGUUCCUCUUACCUCCGCUGCAUACUUGACUCCAUCCACGGUGUGCUCAGAGCCAUGAUCAUCCGAAGAGCCCCAGUGAAGAUGAAACUGGCGAAGUCGGUAGGGUCCAGGGAGAGGACCCCCUCUCAGCACUGUGAUUCAGAUAAGCUUGGUCAACAGUGAAUUCAUGCUUCUUUUACAGAGCUCUACUUUAACCAAGUGCUCUUAGAGCCAAGGCUUAAUGGACAAAAUGUGGUCAGUUUGCUGGGUGGAUGGUGCCACUCCCAGGACACUGGACUCCUCACAAAAUGAAGUCUGGGGAUAUGUCAAGAUAAAUGAUUGUUCUUUUCUGUCUUUCUUAUUUUGUUUGCUUGUUUCAUUAUUAUUGAAACAUCAUUUUAACAUUUAGGAAAGCAAAA